rnacentral:rRNA from 1 species
UACGUAGGGCGCAAGCGUUGUCCGGAAUUAUUGGGCGUAAAGAGCUCGUAGGCGGUUUGUCGCGUCUGCUGUGAAAACUCGGGGCUUAACCCCGGGCCUGCAGUGGGUACGGGCAGACUAGAGUGCGGUAGGGGAGACUGGAAUUCCUGGUGUAGCGGUGAAAUGCGCAGAUAUCAGGAGGAACACCGGUGGCGAAGGCGGGUCUCUGGGCCGUAACUGACGCUGAGGAGCGAAAGCGUGGGGAGCAAACAGG